rnacentral:piRNA from 1 species
UGCAAAGUCUAACCCACCAGGAGUUGAUGG